ensembl:piRNA 21ur-4585 ncRNA
UUCGCAUUCUGAAAGGUUGGU